rnacentral:misc_RNA from 1 species
GAUGAAGAACGUAGCGAAAUGCGAUAAGUAAUGUGAAUUGCAGAAUUCAGUGAAUCAUCGAAUCUUUGAACGCACAUUGCGCCCGCCAGUAUUCUGGCGGGCAUGCCUGUUCGAGCGUCAUUUCAACCCUCAAGCUCUGCUUGGUCUUGGGCCGCGCCGGCGACGGCGGGCCUCAAAAACAGUGGCGGCGCCAUCUGGUUCCUCAGCGUAGUAAUUCUUCUCGCUGUUGGGCCCGGGUGGCCGCUGGCCAGCAACCCCAAAUUUUCUAUGGUUGACCUCGGAUCAGGUAGGGAUACCCGCUGAACUUAAGCAUAUCAAUAAGCGGAGGA